AAGGACGAAAAGCGGAGGCCGCCCGCCUAUCGGCGAAACGCGCUGGAGGGCCUGCGAGGAGGCUGUUGCCGCCGCAGCAGGACCGAAGCGUCGCGAGCCGAUGGCGGCCGGAGCUAGACAAUUCGAAAAGCGGAGGCCGCAAUGGCCAACUGUCGAUACACAGCGCUUUCGUUUCGUUCGGUUUUGAGGGAAUGAGAAAUUCCUUCAGUUGCUUUGCGUCUGUGCCUGCGUCUGCUAGCAGGUUCAGGGAAGCAAGAUUCCUCGGCACAAAGCCGCAAGGAAGUUUGUUCAAAGAAGUCGCUUUGCGUCUACAAGCGGAUUCGGAGAAGCCGAAUUCCUCGACGCAAACCAGCGAAGAAGCGAAUUCAAAGGAGCUACUUUGCGCCUGCGUCUUCUAGCAGAUUCAAGGAAGAUGGAUUCCUCGACGCAAGACUGCAGAGAAGCAAAUUCAAGAAGCAGUCUCGUUCCUUGAAAACUAGAUAACCGGAAAAGCGGAGGCUCGCGGGUCGCCGCGAUGGGCAAAUGUUCUUCGCCUGCAAGGGUGCUUGCACCCGGAAGGCGAAGGUUAUUUGACCCCGAGCGGCGGCGAGCCGAAGCUAGACAGUAAGGAAGAAGCCGAGAGCGCUGUA
rnacentral:misc_RNA from 1 species